rnacentral:rRNA from 1 species
CCUACGGGUGGCAGCAGUGAGGAAUAUUGGUCAAUGUGCGAGAGCCUGAACCAGCCAAGUCGCGUGAGGGAGUACUGCCCUAUGGGUUGUAAACCUCUUUUGUCGGGGAGCAAAAGCCGGACGUGUCCGGCUGUGAGAGUACCCGAAGAAAAAGCCUCGGCUAACUCCGUUCCAGCAGCCGCGGUAAUACGGAGGAUGCGCGCGUUAUCCGGAUUUUUUGGGUUUAAAGGGUGGGCAGGCGGGUUUUUAAGUCAGCGGUAAAAUCGUGGGGCUCAACCCCCUCCAGCCGUUGAAACUGGGGAUCUAGAGUGUGCGAGAGGUAUGCGGAAUGCGUGGUGUAGCGGUGAAAUGCAUAGAUAUCACGCAGAACCCCGAUUGCGAAGGCAGCAUACCGGUGCACAACUGACGCUCAGGCACGAAAGCGUGGGUAUCGAACAGGAUUAGAUACCCCUGUAGUC